GUGCUCACUUUGGCAGCACAUAUACAAAAAAUUGGAAUGAUACAGAGAUUAGCAUGGCCCUGAGCAAGGAUGACAUGCAAAUUCAUCAAGCAUUCCAUAUUAAA
rnacentral:snRNA from 1 species